AAUAGAUACCCUGGUAGUCCACGCCGUAAACGGUGGGCACUAGAUGUGGGGCUCUUUCCAUGAGUUCCGCGUCGCAGCUAACGCAUUAAGUGCCCCGCCUGGGGAGUACGGCCGCAAGGCUAAAACUCAAAGGAAUUGACGGGGGCCCGCACAAGCGGCGGAGCAUGCGGAUUAAUUCGAUGCAACGCGAAGAACCUUACCAAGGCUUGACAUAUACGGUCUAUCCCUAGAGAUAGGGAGUGCUUCGGCGCCGUAUACAGGUGGUGCAUGGUUGUCGUCAGCUCGUGUCGUGAGAUGUUGGGUUAAGUCCCGCAACGAGCGCAACCCUCGUCCUAUGUUGCCAGCGGAUAAUGCCGGGGACUCAUGGGAGACUGCCGGGGUCAACGUCGGAGGAAGGUGGGGAUGAGGUCAAAUCAUCAUGCCCCUUAUGUCUUGGGCUUCACGCAUGCUACAAUGGCCGGUACAAAGGGCUGCAAUACCGCGAGGUGGAGCGAAUCCCAAAAAGCCGGUCUCAGUUCGGAUUGAGGUCGUCG
rnacentral:rRNA from 1 species